AGUAUAUAUGCGUACCGCAAACAACGUGGGGGCUAGCUUGACAAUGUAUUUCCAAGUGGAGGCUGGCCUGACCGCAGUAUUUUACUACGGAAGGAGUGUUUAACCAAAAAUGCAGUCAAGAGAUCUGACAAAUAAUUCGAAGGCACCGGGAAACACAAGAUCAUCGCUGGCGAUCCGCCACCGGCGUCCGAACACCACCAUCCCAGGCAUCCUGGCAACACAGUUAUGAAAUCUGUAUUGCGAAAUGCUGCCACUGCCCAGACCACAGAAGAGCUACACUAUUAUAUGUCCAGAUAUACAGCAAAUUGCUCUUGAUCUGUCUGCUAGCUGAUCUGACACUGAAAGUCUGUCAUAUUUUACUCUAUUGAUACUGAACCAAAGCACUAUCAGAUGAAUAGCGGAUAGAUAUUUAUUUAUUUAAAUCUAGAUUUUAUUUCGCGAUCGUAAACGACUGAAUAUUAUAAAACCCCAUUACUCUGCCUACUUGUAAUCACGACAUUGAUUUUACGACACUGAUAAAGUCUGUUGACUUGAAACGCUGCAGCACUGCUUGUUGGUUUCAUUUUCUGUGUAACAUUGAAACGUGUCCGUAAAAUUAAGUUCCCGCAAGAAAUGUAGUUCCGUGUGGGGUUGAAAAGGAAUCUUGUUUUUGUGUUUAUCCUCCUGAGACCUGAGCGUCACUGCUGUGUGCAUUUUCCAUUCCCCUUUUUGAUUUGUAACUAGCAU